rnacentral:rRNA from 1 species
CCUACGGGAGGCAGCAGUGAGGAAUUUUCCGCAAUGGGCUAACGCCUGACGGAGCAAUGCCGCGUGGAGGAGGAAGGCCUGUGGGUCGUAAACUCCUUUUCUCAGAGAAGAGGAUCUGACGGUAUCUGAGGAAUAAGCAUCGGCUAACUCUGUGCCAGCAGCCGCGGUAAUACAGGGGAUGCAAGCGUUAUCCGGAAUUAUUGGGCGUAAAGCGUCCUGAGGUGGCUUACCCAGUCGACUGUGAAAGCUCAAGGCUCAACCUUGAAACGGCAGUCGAAACUUGUAAGCUUGAGUACGGUAGAGGCAGAGGGAAUUCCCGGAGGAGAGGUGAAAUUCGUAGAUAUCGGGAGGAAGGCCAAAGGCGAAAGCACUCUGCUGGGCCGAUUACUGACACUGACAGACGAAAGCUAGGGGAGCGAAAGGGAUUAGAUACCCCUGUAGUCCUAGCCGUAAACGAUGGAUACUAAGUGUUGCGCGACUCAACUCGUGCAGUGCUGCAGCUAACGCGGUAAGUAUCCCGCCUGGGGAGUAUGCUCGCAAGAGUGAAACUUAAAUGAAAUUGACGG